rnacentral:tRNA from 1 species
GGGCCCAUAGCUCAGUCGGUAAGAGCGCACGCCUGAUAAGCGUGAGGUCAGUGGUUCGAAUCCACUUGGGCCCACCA